GACCUGAUGGUGUAGUUGGUAACACGCUUGCUCCAAUUGUCAUCGACGUAACAAAAACUGUGCAAGAGUUCUCGGUUCGAAUCCGGGUCGGGUCA